GGAUGAAUGACCUCAGGUUGACAUCGCAAGUCAUCAAAACGAAGACUGCAUGGACAUUGGUGAACAUAUGAAUGAGCCUGCUCAACAUACAGCAAAACCUAAUGUGACUGUUUCCAGUAGUGUUCGUGAAUUGUUGGAAUGCCCUGUAUGCUUAAAUGCUAUGUAUCCACCCAUCCAUCAGUGUUCCAACGGUCACACACUGUGUUCUGGUUGCAAACCUAGGGUUCACAAUCGCUGUCCAACAUGUCGGCAUGAACUUGGUAAUAUCCGAUGUCUUGCGUUGGAGAAGGUUGCUGCAUCUCUUGAACUCCCAUGUAAAUACCAG
rnacentral:misc_RNA from 1 species